AGGUCGGGUCAUUCUGAUAGUUCAGAUAAACGGGUCAGAACUAUCGGAAUGGCAGUUUUGA
rnacentral:pre_miRNA from 1 species